rnacentral:rRNA from 1 species
UACGGGGGGAGCAAGCGUUGUUCGGAUUUACUGGGCGUAAAGGGCGCGUAGGCGGUCAGCACAAGUCAGUUGUGAAAUCUCCGGGCUUAACUCGGAAAGGUCAACUGAUACUGUGCGACUAGAGUGCAGAAGGGGCAACUGGAAUUCUCGGUGUAGCGGUGAAAUGCGUAGAUAUCGAGAGGAACACCUGCGGCGAAGGCGGGUUGCUGGGCUGACACUGACGCUGAGGCGCGAAAGCCAAGGGAGCGAACGGG